rfam:Gorilla gorilla gorilla genomic chromosome, chr3, whole genome shotgun sequence
GCUGGGCAUGGUGAUGCAUGCCUGUAGUCCCAGCUACUCGGGAGGCUGAGGCAUAAGAAUUGCUUGAACCCAGGAGGUGGAGACUGCAGUGAGCCGAGAUACCCCACUGUACUCCAGCCUGGGUGACAAAGCAAGACUCUGUCUCAA